GGGCGUGUGGUCUAGUGGUAUGAUUUCUGUUUCGCACUUCCUUCUGCGAUCCUACAGAAGGUCCCGCGUUCAAUUCGCGGUACGUCCA